UACGAAGGGGGCGAGCGUUGUUCGGAUUUACUGGGCGUAAAGGGCGCGUAGGCGGCCCUCCUAGUCGCGUGUGAAAGCCCCGGGCUCAACCUGGGAAUGGCAAUGGAUACUGGCAGGCUAGAGUGCGGUAGAGGGUAGUGGAAUUCCCGGUGUAGCGGUGAAAUGCGUAGAGAUCGGGAGGAACACCAGUGGCGAAGGCGGCUACCUGGACCAGCACUGACACUGAGGCACGAAAGCGUGGGGAGCAAACAGG
rnacentral:rRNA from 1 species